rnacentral:rRNA from 1 species
UACGAGGGGGGCGAGCGUUGUUCGGAAUUAUUGGGCGUAAAGGGUGCGUAGGCGGUUUGGUAAGUCUUGUGUGAAAUCUCCAGGCUCAACUUGGAGUCUGCACGAGAAACUGCCGGGCUUGAGUGUGGGAGAGGUGAGUGGAAUUCCUGGUGUAGCGGUGAAAUUCGUAGAUAUUGGGAAGAACACCGGUGGCGAAGGCGGCGCUCUGGACCGAGACUGACGCUGAGGCGCGAAAGCGUGGGGAGCAAACAGG